rnacentral:rRNA from 1 species
AUGGAGGCUGCCGCGGCGAGCGCGUUGACCAAGGAGGUGGUGCUGAAGCUGGUCGCGCUGCUGAGCGAGAAGCACAAGCUGUCCAAGCCGCUCAAGGAUGACCUCCGCUUCAUCCGCACCGAGCUCGACAUGAUCUCCAGCGCCAGGGACAGCCACCACAUGAUGGCGGGGGACCCGAGUUCCUCCUCGCGGCGGCCGCAGGCCGUCGUGUCCAUGGAGGAGAUGCGCGACCUCGCGCACGACAUCGAGGAUUGCAUCGACCGGUUCCUGCCCUGCGUCGCAUGCGAGGGGGAGGCGGCGGCGUCCUCGGUCCUCCGCCGCGUGAAGACGGCGGUCACCAGCACCAGAUCCCGGUUCGCGGCGGAGAUCCGGAAGCUCAGGGGCAGGCUCAGGGACGCCCACGAGCGGAGGGCCAACUACGACGUCCAGGCCGGCGGCGGGCCGUCCUUCUCGGCCGCUGCCACCGGAGCAGGUUCUCCUCCCGCAGCCGCCGAUGGCGACCUCGUGGGCAUCGACAAGCCGAGGCAGGAGCUCGUGGAGCUCUUGCUGGAGAGCGAGCCGGGGAGGUCGGGCGUGAUCUCCAUCGUGGGAUUCGGCGGCUCCGGGAAGACCACGCUCGCGAGGGCGGUGUUCGACUGCCCCGCCGUCGUCCGGAGGUUCCCCUGCCGCGCCUGGGCCGCCGCGCCGGAGCACAGGGACGCCGAGGGGCUCCUCGCGGCCAUACUCCGGCAGUUCCACACGGCCCAAAACUCCAUCCAUGGCUUCCUGCGGACUACAGAGUGUUUAAUCGUAAUCGAUGACAUUAACAAGCAACACUGGGACGCCAUCAAAUCUAUCUUCCACAGGGAAACAAAAAGCAGAAUCAUUGUGACAACAUCUCUUCAGUCAGUAGCUAAUGCUUGCAGCUCAGGUGGUGGUUAUGUUUACAAGAUGAGCAUUCUUGACGCGGAACUCUCCAAGGUUUUGCUAAUGAAGAAGGUCUUCUUCCAAGGAUGUUCACCUGAACUGGAGCGGGGCUCGACAGCGAUCGUUGAGAAGUGCGAUGGCCUUCCACUCGCUCUUGUUAGUGUGGCCAAGUUUUUGCUAGGCGAGAACGAGCUCACGGGGAAUCACUGCACGCAAGUUUGCCGCAACCUCGGGCUUCAUAUGGAGAAAGAUGCAGACUUCACAAAGCUACAACAGGUUCUUGUAAAUAACUACAUAAGCCUGUCUGGCUAUCCUCUCAGGACCUCCUUGCUGUACACAAGUGUGUUCCCAAAUGGUCGUACAAUCAGCAGGAAUACUUUGAUCAGGCGAUGGUUGGCAGAAGGGUACGUGCAAUGUCAGUACAAACGCAGUGACCAUGAGGUAGCAGAUGAGAACUUCCGGGAACUCAUUGACCGGAAUAUCAUCCGACCGAUCGAUGCUAGCAACAACACGAAAGUGAAGACAUGCAAAACUCAUGGUAUCAUGCACGAGUUCAUGCUGCACAAGUCCAUGUCUGAUAACUUCAUCACUUCUCUGCGUGAUCAAAAUCGAAGUAAGUUCCGUCACCUGUUCAUCCAGAACCCUGCAAGUGGCAGCACCUUGGGCCUGAACCACCAACAUACAAGUACAGCAAGCGACAACGUAUCUGGUAGUGAAAAAUUUCGUGCCCGAUCUCUAACAAUCUUUGGAAAUGUGGAAGAAUCGGCUUCUGAGUUUUGUAGGUGCGAGCUUCUGCGAGUGCUGGAUCUGCAAGAAUGCAAUGAUUUGGAGGACGAUCAUCUCAAGGACAUACAUAAGUUGUGGCAUCUAAAAUAUCUGAGCCUUGGGGGAACUAUCAACAACCUUCCAAGGAAUAUUGAAAAGUUACACUGCUUAGAGACACUGGACCUUAGGAAGACCAAGAUAGAUAUAUUGCCAUAUGAAGUCAUUGGGUUGCCUCACCUAGCUCACCUGCUUGGAAAGUUUAAGCUUGGGAAAAAGGACCUGAAAAUGAGUGAACUGAAGAAGCUCUUGCCCAAAACAUGUAAGUUGAAGACUCUUGCAGGAUUUGUUGCAGACGAAAACGCUGGGUUUCUACAACUAAUGGCUCAUAUGAAUGAAUUAAAGAAGGUUAAGAUAUGGUGUGAGUCCACUGGUGCAGACAGCAAGAGCUUACCUCACAUUUCAAAGGCAGUUCAGAAGUUUGCUCAGGAUGGUAUGGACACUACAGGCGUUCGAUCUCUGUCACUUGACUUCGGAAAUUCCACGGGGGACUUCCUGGGUUCUAUGCAAGAAUAUUGUUAUCUCAGCUCGCUGAAACUGCGGGGCAGGCUGAGCGUGCUGCCUCAUUUUGUUACAUCCUUGUGUGGCCUCACGGAGUUGUGCCUUUCAUCAACUAAUCUGGUGGGGAAUGCUCUAUCAAACCUGUGUAAGCUUCGCUACCUGCUUUACCUCAAACUGGUUGAGGCUGACCUUAGGAGCUUUGUCAUUAAAAAUGGAGAUUUCCCAAGUCUGCGACGCUUAUGCCUUGUCGUGCAAUCACCCGUCCUCCCGACAAUUGGAAAAGGAGCUCUGCCGUAUCUUGUGUCACUUCAGCUGCUUUGUAAAGAUCUUGCUGAUCUUUCAGGCAUCAAGAUUGAAUACCAUGAUUGCCUGGAGGAAGUCGCUCUUGAUUCGAUGGUCAGUACGAAAGCAGUAGAAACGUGGGAAACUGCAGCAAAGAAGCAUCCAAAGAGACCAAAGGUUCUGUUUCUCAAACGGAUUGAUCCAAGCGAAGCCCAGUCUUCUGUGAAAUAUGUGGCGGCAGAUGGACCGAUGCCUAAGAAGGGUCCCUCCAUUGAGUUCAGUCAAGUUCAGUUAACGCAGAAUAUGUUGCAGAAUGAAUGCAUAAUCCGUUCAGUCCAAUCAAGUUCAGUGAACAAGCCUAAUUCAGCUUUGAAGAAAAUAAUAGUUUCAGAACCCCAUCAGGCUGCAUCGGAGCUAUCCAGUGCUGGGAAUGGUGCGAUGCCUCCUUCUGCAAGCAUAUGUAACAGUUAG